rfam:Colius striatus contig41233, whole genome shotgun sequence.
ACAAAGGCUCUUUUAAGAGCCACCACAAAGCCACUGGAAAGAGCUGU